ACCCCCACCCGCACGGGUGUGGCCCCCCGGUGGCCCCCUCAAACACUUGUUGUAUCUGCCGUCCGAGUCGCAAAUGCAAAUGAAACAAAACUUUCAACAACGGAUCUCUUGGUUCUGGCAUCGAUGAAGAACGCAGCGAAAUGCGAUAAGUAAUGUGAAUUGCAGAAUUCAGUGAAUCAUCGAAUCUUUGAACGCACAUUGCGCCCCCUGGUAUUCCGGGGGGCAUGCCUGUUCGAGCGUCAUUACAACCAAUCCAGCCCGGCUGGGUGUUGGGCGUCGCGGCCUGCCGCGCGCCUCAAAGUCCUCGGCGGAAGCCGCCCGUUCCUCUGCGUGAUGACCCAUCGCCGCUUGGGAGUCGGGGGAGAGCGCCUGCACGCGUCGACGGAGACGUCGCCUUCAAGGUUGACCUCGGAUCAGGUAGGG
rnacentral:rRNA from 1 species